rnacentral:lncRNA from 10 species
GAGGCCACCUCCUUGUUCAGCUCGUCCCCUGCUCCAUUCUUCUUCCCUCCUUUUCUCCUGAGAUCACUUUCUUAAUCAGCCACCUGCAGAAGAACCCCCAUCUCAGGUUCCACUUUUAGGGAGCUCAACUUCAGACAGGAUUGGGUAAGAAAUUGGGGAAAAGGCAAUAUGAAUCCCAGUUUUCCUUUUGGGUAAGUGGGUGGCUGGAUGUGCUGAACACCGAGUAGAGGAGGCUUAGAAGAGGAUGAGGUUUGUGAGAGCAGAGAAGCUCAGUUUUGUUUACUGGAGAAGCAGAUGUCAUAUCCAGGAAGCAGCUGGAUACCUGCGGGUCUGCAGCCAGGAGAGAGCUCUAAAUGUUGUCACCAAACGUGACUAAAUGACAGCUGAAACCCUGAAGUUGGCGAGGAAGAAAUCAUGGAGAAAAACAGAGUGGUCUCAGGAUGAACUUGGAGGAAUGUGAGCAUUAUACAGUGAGUGGAAAACUGGCAGGAGGCAGCGGAGCCAUGCUCUUUUCUGUUUAUUACCUCCAGUGAACUUGUGUUUGUGUUUCCUGUUAUCAUUGCUGGUAAUCGGCUUUCAGAUUGUGACCUGGUACACAUGAGUGUGUGUGUGUGUUUCUAGAGGUGUAUAAUAAAAAAGUUCCAUGCAGUAAAAUUUACCCUCACUAUUACAUAUGAUGCACUCGAAUAUUUGCUGUUCUAGUCUGAUAAAAAUGCUGAUGUGUAAUCUGCUGAAUUAACUUUUUCAGCCACUGGUCACAUAUUGCAGUUAAAAAAAUUUCAAAUGGUAAUUUAUAAGCUAAAGGAAACCAACAUAUUUAGUUUUCUCUCACUAGUUGUGAGUGUGAAAAGUGUAACUGUGUCUUUUGACUCCUGUUUUAGAAAUUAGCACCUUUUACUUUCUUUUCUAUUUUCUAUUUGCCUAUUUUUUAAUAACACUCUGAUAUUUUAUUCCUGUAUUAUUGUUAAAUCUGUAUUUCUGCAUUUUAUAAAUGCUGUUAAAAUUAUCUUUGAUAGUUUCAAUGUAAUAGUUAUAUUAACAGACCCAAUUUUGUGAUACAUAUGUAUGUGUACAUUUACAUAUUCAUGUAUAUGUUUAUGUGUAUGUAUGCAAAAGACCAGAAAGCAGUAUGUUAAAUAUUAAUAUUAAUUAUCCCAAGCUAUGUGUUUUGCAGGAGGUUUUUUCUUUGUGCAUCCUUAUAAUUGAUUUUCUAAACAAAGAACCAGCAAUUAUUUUAACCAGUAAUAAACUCAUAAAAUAAAAGAACUUGAAAAUUUACUAAGAAUAUUGUUGCAUAAUUAUAUUUUUUAUAAUUAUGUAAUUUACAUAAUUAGUCACAACUGUAUUUUAUUUGGUAAUAUAUUCCAUAUCUUUGAGUUUGGAAAGUUAUUUUCUAUCUGGAAAUCAGAUAAUAUCCCAAUUUUUCUGGGUUUUAAUAAUUUAAUUUUUAAUAGUUUUUAUAUUUUAUAUUUUAUUCUUUUUAACUGUAUUUUUGUCUAUUUGUACACAUCUAAUCUCCAACAGCACAGCCAGGGGCUCCAAGGAUGGCCGAUGAGGAACAGUGUCUGAAGUAGUGUUUCCCAAAGAGUCACCCCUCUGGCUAUGUGCAAAUCCAUGGUUCAGACUCCAGACUGUGGAAUCAAAGUUUCUGGGUAUGGAGCCAAGGAAUCUUCAUCUUUUUCAAGUCCUUAUCUCUACCCUUGUCCAACCCAGCAAUUAACAUUUAUCCUAAACAUUGAAACCUUCCCUUCUAAAGGGAAAAUAAAGAGAAGUCCCAGUUUGGCCAGUGGCUACCUCUAUACACAUGGGGCAAACUGCAUCACUACUUAGAGGAUCAUUUUCUCAACUCUGUAAUGAUGGAUUUAGAUUAACUGUGUUAGAUUCUUUCAAUGCUAAAAGAUUGUUUCUCAGUUCUUUUUUUCUAAAAUGGGAAUAAUACCUUUGUUCUGCCUAUGUAAUAACUAUAGGAUACAUGAAAGUCAAAUGAGUUAAUGUUCACUAAAGCUUUAUUUUGUUACUAUUUGACAAUUUUGUUGGUUUUCAUCCCUUAGAGUGAAUGAAACGAACCACAUUUUUAUUGGCUUCUGGCUUACUCAGUCCUCCAGAAAUCUAGAUGCUCUUUCAAAGUAGAUGAAUGUCAGUGCCACAAAUGACCACAGACCACCCCACCCCUGGUUGCUGCUGGCUUUGGAUUGGACUUUUAGUGAACAAGAAAUAAAUUUUUAUUGUCUCAAGUCAUGGAAAUCUUGGGAUUUGUCUAUUACACCAGUCAGUUUUACCUUAACAAACA